rnacentral:rRNA from 1 species
UACGUAGGGUGCAAGCGUUAUCCGGAAUUAUUGGGCGUAAAGAGCUCGUAGGCGGUUUGUCGCGUCUGCUGUGAAAACCCGAGGCUCAACCUCGGGCCUGCAGUGGGUACGGGCAGACUAGAGUGCGGUAGGGGAGAUUGGAAUUCCUGGUGUAGCGGUGGAAUGCGCAGAUAUCAGGAGGAACACCGAUGGCGAAGGUAGAUCUCUGGGCCGUAACUGACGCUGAGGAGCGAAAGCGUGGGGAGCAAACAGG